rnacentral:tRNA from 1 species
GGGGGCGUGUGUUUGCGGGUUCGAUUCCCCCUUUU